UACAGAGGGUGCAAGCGUUAAUCGGAUUUACUGGGCGUAAAGAGCGCGCAGGCGGUCGUUCAAGUCGCGUGUGAAAGCCCCCGGCUCAACUGGGGAGGGUCACGCGAUACUGAUCGACUCGAAGGCAGGAGAGGGUAGUGGAAUUCCCGGUGUAGUGGUGAAAUGCGUAGAUAUCGGGAGGAACACCAGUGGCGAAGGCGACUACCUGGCCUGUUCUUGACGCUGAGGCGCGAAAGCUAGGGGAGCAAACGGG
rnacentral:rRNA from 1 species